UGAUAAUGAUGAUGAUGAUGAUGAUGAUAAUAAUAAUAAUAAUAAUAACAUUAUUAUUAUGAAUAAUGAUAAUUAUAAUAAUGAUAAUUAUAAUAAUAAAAUAUAAAGAAAAACUUUUGCAUUGUUAAACGUCAAGACGUAUUUUCCUUAUUUUAUUUCACAGAGUUUUACACGUUCAUUCAAUCAACAAAUGGAGAAUAAUAAUCCAUAUAUACGAUCGCAUGAUCAAUUAUUUCGAUUACUGAAAGAUCAUCAAAAAAAAAAAAAAAGACAAAUUGACAAAUACGAGAUACAUGAUAUUAUUACUUUUGACAAAUAACGAAACGGAUUACAAUGUUCUACUUGUCUCUGAUUGUAUUAUUCAUGGCAUUACCGCAUGAAGGAGAUUAACAGAGAGAUUAAACGAUCAGUUGUUAUAGGAAACUGGUAGUAUGAUGAGAGAAUGAGAGAGAGAGAGAGAAAGAGAGAGAGAGAGAGAGAUAGAUAGAGGAACGAAUUUUAAUGGAAUCACUAAAGAUGCAACAACAUGUUCUGACGUAAAUCAACUGGAAUACGUAAGCUCGAAAUGCUAAAAUGACAAAGCUCAUCCUUUAAUCUCUCCAUAGAAUUUCAUCUCUCUCUCUCUCUCACUCUCUCUGUCUCUCUCUCUGUCUUUCUCUCUCUCUCUCUGUUUCUCUGUUUCUCUCUCUUUCUCUCUCUCUCUCUCUCUGUUUAUACCUCAUUACUUCCUUCUCUCUUUUUUGUUUUGAACUAUGACCAGAGGAGAACGUAAGAACAAAAAUCGGAAAUAAAUAUUCUUAGGAAUAAUGAAAAUGAAUGAGGAAUGAAAAUAAAUGUUUUAAAUGGAAAUAUUGCGGAUUUAUGAAAAAAGAAGAAAAAGAAGGGGAAAAAAAGAAAAAAAAACCUAAGAAAAAGAAAAAUAUUAUCGAACGAGAUUUAUAAUAGAAAUUCAAUUCGUAAAAUUUAAUUCUCAUUGAUAUAUUCCAUAUAGAAAAUUUUUAAUUUUAAUUAUCACAGGUAAAAGUCCUUCAGUUAAUAUAUUACAGGAGAGUCAUCAUUGUUGUUUUGUUUUUCUUUCAGGCAAAUCACAACAGUCGCAAACUGUGAUUUGUCUCUGUUCAUUUCAAUCUUGGAUUUCGAAGUGUGUGUAUAUUAAGCAACGACAUUUGCUUUGAAAAACAAUCGAGAAAGAGUAUUUGUGUGUGUGUGUUGGUGUGUAUUGGUGUGUAUGUAUGUGUGCGUGUUCGCAUCGAAGAGGAAGGAGCAAAAAAAAAAAACAAAAAAAAGAGAAAAGCAAAUCUUUACAAAAUUUAUUUAUCUCAUUAUUGAAGACACGUAUCAGGAUUCUUAACAAAAUGGCUAAUAGGAAUAAACCCGAUCAAUCGAAUGAGUUAUCAUCGACAAAGGAAGAAAAAUUGAAGAUUGGUAAUCGUCCUAAAUAUCAAUUGAAAAUCAGUAUACCUUUGGAUAAAUUAAGUGGAUACAUACCAAGAAAUCCGACAACAUCUAAUCGUGAUGAAAAUAAUCGUAAUUAAUCGAAGAGUUCAAGUUCGUCGAAGAAAAAACAAAAAUAAUAAACGAAAUCUGUUUCUAAUCGAAAAUAUAUUCUCUUAUCGCAUAUCGCACUCGUUGGUUUUUACGACGAAGUAAACAAAAGAAAAAAAAAAAAAAAAAAAAA